rnacentral:rRNA from 1 species
UAUCUCUGUAGAGUCUGCAUAUCAAUAAGCGGAGGAAAAGAAACUAACAAGGAUUCCCCUAGUAACGGCGAGUGAAGCGGGAAGAGCUCAAAUUUGAAAUCUUCAAGGUUUGACCUUGACGAAUUGUAGUUUAAAGAAGUGUUUUCGGUUAGAGGAGUAGUAAAAGUUCUUUGGAAUAGGACAUCAUAGAGGGUGAGAAUCCCGUAUUUGACUAUUCUUUCUAGCUUUGUGAUACACUUUCAAAGAGUCGGAUUGUUUGGGAAGUGCAGUUCAAAAUGGGUGGUAAAUUUCAUCUAAAGCUAAAUAUUGGCGAGAGACCGAUAGCGAACAAGUACCGUGAGGGAAAGAUGAAAAGAACUUUGAAAAGAGAGUUAAACAGUACGUGAAAUUGUCAAAAGGGAAGCGUUUGACACCAGUGUUGUUUUUCCGAAAAUCAACUAAAAAUUGAUUCAUGCCAGGUUGUAUUGACCUUAUCAGCUUGCAAUUUGGUUUUGGGUCUCUUUUUGAUGCACUUUUCGGUUAACAAGUCAACAUCAAUUUCCUUUGCUGUAAAAAGGUAAGAGGAAGGUGGCUUCAAUUUCGGUUGAAGUGUUUAUAGCCUUUUAUCUCUGCAGUCGGGGAGAUUGAGGUCUGCAGCGUAGAUCCUUCGGGGCUAGAUACAUUUAUGCUAAGUUAUAGCUUUUCAUAGACAACUUGUUGACUAUGUUUAGUCAUGUAGCUUACUCGUAAGUGCUAUUUUACCUACGCUUAGGAUGUUGAAGACUCUACAGAGAUA